rnacentral:tRNA from 2 species
GGAGAGGUGGCCGAGCGGCUUAAGGCGCACGCCUGGAAAGCGUGUUGGGGGCAACCCCUCCGGGGUUCGAAUCCCCGUCUCUCCGCAA